GACGAACGCUGGCGGCGUGCUUAACACAUGCAAGUCGAACGAAGUGGCGAACGGGUGAGUAACGCGUAAUCAACCUGCCCUUCAGAGGGGGACAACAGUUGGAAACGACUGCUAAUACCGCAUACUGUAGGAGGGGAUUGCGUCUGUUUAGCUAGUUGGAGGGGUAACGGCCCACCAAGGCGAUGAUCAGUAGGCUGUCUGGAGUGAUGAACGGCCACAUUGGGACUGGGACACGGCCCAGACUUCUACGGUGGGGAGUCGUGGGGAAUCUUCCGCAAUGGACGAAAGUCUGACUGAGCAACGCCGCGUGGGGGAUGACAGCCUUCGGGUUGUUAAGCUCUGUUAAUCGGGACGCGGUACCGGAAGAGAAAGCCACGGCUAACUACGUGCCAGCAGCCGCGGUAAUUC
rnacentral:rRNA from 1 species